rnacentral:rRNA from 1 species
UACGUAGGAGGCGAGCGUUAUCCGGAUUUAUUGGGCGUAAAGCGCGUGCAGGUGGUUUGGUAAGUUGGGUAUGAAAUCUCCUGGCUUAACUAGGAGAGGUUGCUCAAAACUACCAUGACUAGAGGACGGUAGAGGAAGGUGGAAUUCCCGGUGUAGUAGUGAAAUGCGUAGAUAUCGGGAGGAACACCAGUGGCGAAGGCGGCCUUCUGGGCCGUUCCUGACACUAAGACGCGAAAGCAUGGGUAGCAAACGGGAUUAGAUACCCCCGUA